AUUGAACGCUGGCGGCAGGCCUAACACAUGCCAGUCGAGCGGAUGAAGGGAGCUUGCUCCUGGAUUCAGCGGCGGACGGGUGAGUAAUGCCUAGGAAUCUGCCUGGUAGUGGGGGAUAACGUCCGGAAACGGGCGCUAAUACCGCAUACGUCCUGAGGGAGAAAGUGGGGGGUUUUCGGACCCCACGCUUACAAGAUGACCUAGGUCGGAUUAGCUAGUUGGUGGGGUAAAGGCCUACCAAGGCGACGAUCCGUAACUGGUCUGAGAGGAUGAUCAGUCACACUGGAACUGAGACACGGUCCAGACUCCUACGGGAGGCAGCAGUGGGGAAUAUUGGACAAUGGGCGAAAGCCUGAUCCAGCCAUGCCGCGUGUGUGAAGAAGGUCUUCGGAUUGUAAAGCACUUUAAGUUGGGAGGAAGGGCAGUAAGUUAAUACCUUGCUGUUUUGACGUUACCAACAGAAUAAGCACCGGCUAACUUCGUG
rnacentral:rRNA from 1 species